rnacentral:rRNA from 1 species
CCUGAUUGAUUCUGUCAGCGCGAUAUGCUCAAGUAAAAGAUUAAGCCAUGCAUGCUUUGAUUCAUCAAUGAAAUUGCGUACGGCUCAUUAGAGCAGAUAUCACCUUGUUCGGAAUAUUAUAUGGAUAACUGCGGAAAUACUGGAGCUAAUACAUGUCAUACAUCCCCAACGUAAGGCGGGGUGCAAUUAUUAGAACAGACCAAACGUUUUCGGACGUUGUUUGUUGACUCUGAAUAAAGCAGUUUACUGUCAGUUUCGACUGACUCUAUCCGAAAAGGGUGUCUGCCCUUUCAACUAGAUGGUAGUUUAUUGGACUACCAUGGUUGUUACGGGUAACGGAGAAUAAGGGUUCGACUCCGGAGAGGGAGCCUUAGAAACGGCUACCACGUCCAAGGAAGGCAGCAGGCGCGAAACUUAUCCACUGUUGAGUAUGAGAUAGUGACUAAAAAUAUAAAGACUCAUCCUUUUGGAUGAGUUAUUUCAAUGAGUUGAAUACAAAUGAUUCUUCGAGUAGCAAGGAGAGGGCAAGUCUGGUGCCAGCAGCCGCGGUAAUUCCAGCUCUCCUAGUGUAUCUCGUUAUUGCUGCGGUUAAAAAGCUCGUAGUUGGAUCUAGGUUACGUGCUGCAGUUCGCAAUUUGCGUCAACUGUAGUCGUGACUUCUAAUUUGCUGGUUUGAGGUUGGGUUCGCCCUUCAACUGCCAGCAGGUUUACCUUGAAUAAAUCAGAGUGCUCAAAACAAGUGUUUGCUUGAAUAGCUCAUCAUGGAAUAAUGAAACAGGACUUCGGUUCUUUUUGUUGGUUCUAGAACUGAUUUAAUGGUUAAGAGGGACAAACCGGGGGCAUUCGUAUCAUUACGCGAGAGGUGAAAUUCGUGGACCGUAGUGAGACGCCCAACAGCGAAAGCAUUUGCCAAGAAUGUCUUCAUUAAUCAAGAACGAAAGUCAGAGGUUCGAAGGCGAUUAGAUACCGCCCUAGUUCUGACCGUAAACGAUGCCAUCUCGCGAUUCGGAGGGUUUUUGCCCUGCCGAGGAGCUAUCCGGAAACGAAAGUCUUUCGGUUCCGGGGGUAGUAUGGUUGCAAAGCUGAAACUUAAAGAAAUUGACGGAAGGGCACCACAAGGCGUGGAGCUUGCGGCUUAAUUUGACUCAACACGGGAAAACUCACCCGGUCCGGACACCAUUAGGACUGACAGAUUGAAAGCUCUUUCUCGAUUUGGUGGUUGGUGGUGCAUGGCCGUUCUUAGUUGGUGGAGUGAUUUGUCUGGU